AUUGAACGCUGGCGGCAGGCCUAACACAUGCAAGUCGAGCGGAUGAAGGGACCUUGCUCCUGGAUUCAGCGGCGGACGGGUGAGUAAUGCCUAGGAAUCUGCCUGGUAGUGGGGGAUAACGUCCGGAAACGGGCGCUAAUACCGCAUACGUCCUGAGGGAGAAAGUGGGGGAUCUUCGGACCUCACGCUAUCAGAUGAGCCUAGGUCGGAUUAGCUAGUUGGUGGGGUAAAGGCCUACCAAGGCGACGAUCCGUAACUGGUCUGAGAGGAUGAUCAGUCACACUGGAACUGAGACACGGUCCAGACUCCUACGGGAGGCAGCAGUGGGGAAUAUUGGACAAUGGGCGAAAGCCUGAUCCAGCCAUGCCGCGUGUGUGAAGAAGGUCUUCGGAUUGUAAAGCACUUUUAGUUGGGAAGAAGAGCAGUAAGUUAAUACCUUGCUGUUUUGACGUUACCAACAGAAUAAGCACCGGCUAACUUCGUG
rnacentral:rRNA from 1 species